GGGGGGGCGGUCAGAGAGGGGAAUAAAAGCAGUCCACCCAAGCCAACUGCCAGGACCGGCUCAGAUGUCUUUACUUGCUAUGUAAGCGUUGUUCUUUGGCUGUUAGCAAUAAAUCUUGUUGCUGCUCACUCUUGGGUCUGCGCAGACUUUGUGAGCUGUAACAUUCACUGCCAAGGUCUGCAGCUUCACUCCUGAAGCCAGCUAGACCACGAGCCCACCAGAAGGAAGAAACUCUGGACACAUCUGAACAUCUGAAGGAACAAACUCCCGACACACCAUGUUUAAGAACUGUAACACUCACGGUGAGGGUCCGCGGCUUCAUUGCUGAAGUCAGCGAGUUGGAGAACCCACCAAUUCCGGACACACUACCAGUGUGGUAGCCUAAGCAGGUUAUUUUGGUUUUCAUAUAUUGUCGCUGGACAGGGUUCCAAAAGAGAAACAGAAACUGCAAGUAUUCAAAGACUUUUGAAGUCUGGGCUUGUAUCUUGCCUCUCCUGACUCCCACUGCAUUUUAUUGGCCAAAGAAAUUCAAAAGAUUAAAGAGAAGAAAUAAGAGACUCUGAAUUUUUAAUGGUAGGACUUGGGAAAUGGAGCAGUUACAGGUAAAAGGGAACGAUUAUGGCCAUCUAUGUAGUCUAUCAUAUAGGUACCAUGCUAAAGUUUGAAUAACAUAUUACUCAUAUCUGCAGAGGUAAAGGUGACUAUCAGAAGAAAUAUUAUAGCACAUACAUGGUCAAUGGAAUAAUUGUUUUAGCUUCACAUUUACUUUUGUUUCUGUAAUCUAUGCAGUUCUACUCAUUGAUCAACAAACAUAACUUGGACUUUCUUGCUUUCAUAUUGUUCUUUGCCUAAUUGUCCUUGUUUCUGAUGUGUCAAGAUCUCUGACACCUUUCAACUUUAAAUCCAGUUUGAUUGGUUGUCAAUGGACAAUCCUCCACCUCUGAGAAGCUUUCUAUGAUUACUUCAGAUGAAGGACUCAGCAAGAACUUGGCACUCUGCAACCCAGAAGAGAGUUCUCGCCAGAAACCAAUCAUGCUGGCACUUGGAUCUAGGACUUCAAGCUUCCAGAAAUUUGUGGAAUAAGUUUCUGCUGUUUAUAAGCCACCAAGUCUAUGAUAAUGUGUCAGAGGACUGAGCUAAGACAUAAAGUGAGUUAGAGUUAAGAUUUAAGAUCUAUUUGUUACAAUAAAAUUCAAAAUAGUCGUAUAAAUGUUUAAAUGCAACAUCUCAAAAAUCGUAACAUGUUCUUACAUUUAGAGAAUUAGUACAGAAAUAUUAAGUCAACAAAAUUUCUAACAUUAAAUUGAUGUCUACUUGUUAUGUUGAUUUGCAAACAUUUUUUUCCACAUGGAUAUAUUUCCUUUUGUCUACCCAACUAAUUGUUAUUGCAUUACAGGAAAUCUUUUAUUUAUUUUGUAUUUCUCUGUAAACACCUCCCUACCUUGUCUAGUAUAGUGUCAAUUAUUUCAUGCUUUUAUUAAUGUAAUGGCAAAGUCAUUUUAAUGGCCAGAAUAUAAAGAAUUAUAAAUAACACCUCCAUAGAAUUAAGAUUUGAUUGUUGCAAUGGCAAUAUGGAUGACUUUUAGAAAAAUGUGUUGUAUAUGCCAUCAGACAUUAAAAAAAUUAGCUAAGCUGCAAAUCAAUUUUUACAUGCAAAUAUAACAUAUUAAUAACAGCAGUAGAUGAAAAAAGGAUUGGCUUGAAUUGCUAAGUCAUUUCACACAUUGAUACCAGAGUAAAAUACUUCAAAAUUGUU